rnacentral:rRNA from 1 species
AGAGUUUGAUCCUGGCUCAGGAUGAACGCUGGCGGCGUGCCUAAUACAUGCAAGUCGAGCGAACCACUUCGGUGGUGAGCGGCGAACGGGUGAGUAACACGUAGGUGACCUGCCCAUCAGACGGGGACAACGAUUGGAAACGAUCGCUAAUACCGGAUAGGACGAAAGUUUAAAGGUGCUUCUGGCACCGCUGAUGGAUGAGCCUGCGGCGCAUUAGCUAGUUGGUAGGGUAAAGGCCUACCAAGGCGACGAUGCGUAGCCGACCUGAGAGGGUGAACGGCCACACUGGGACUGAGACACGGCCCAGACUCCUACGGGAGGCAGCAGUAGGGAAUCUUCGGCAAUGGGCGAAAGCCUGACCGAGCAACGCCGCGUGAAUGAUGAAGGCCUUCGGGUUGUAAAAUUCUGUUAUAAGGGAAGAACGACUUUAGUAGGAAAUGGCUAGAGUGUGACGGUACCUUAUGAGAAAGCCACGGCUAACUACGUGCCGGCAGCCGCGGUAAUACGUAGGUGGCGAGCGUUAUCCGGAAUUAUUGGGCGUAAAGAGCGCGCAGGUGGUUGAUUAAGUCUGAUGUGAAAGCCCACGGCUUAACCGUGGAGGGUCAUUGGAAACUGGUCGACUUGAGUGCAGAAGAGGGAAGUGGAAUUCCAUGUGUAGCGGUGAAAUGCGUAGAGAUAUGGAGGAACACCAGUGGCGAAGGCGGCUUCCUGGUCUGUAACUGACACUGAGGCGCGAAAGCGUGGGGAGCAAACAGGAUUAGAUACCCUGGUAGUCCACGCCGUAAACGAUGAGUGCUAAGUGUUGGGGGUCGAACCUCAGUGCUGAAGUUAACGCAUUAAGCACUCCGCCUGGGGAGUACGGUCGCAAGACUGAAACUCAAAGGAAUUGACGG